rnacentral:rRNA from 1 species
GAUGAACGCUGGCGGCGUGCCUAAUACAUGCAAGUCGAGCGAACAGACGAGGAGCUUGCUCCUCUGACGUUAGCGGCGGACGGGUGAGUAACACGUGGAUAACCUACCUAUAAGACUGGGAUAACUUCGGGAAACCGGAGCUAAUACCGGAUAAUAUAUUGAACCGCAUGGUUCAAUAGUGAAAGACGGUUUUGCUGUCACUUAUAGAUGUAUCCGCGCCGCAUUAGCUAGUUGGUAAGGUAACGGCUUACCAAGGCAACGAUGCGUAGCCGACCUGAGAGGGUGAUCAGCCACACUGGAACUGAGACACGGUCCAGACUCCUACGGGAGGCAGCAGUAGGGAAUCUUCCGCAAUGGGCGAAAGCCUGACGGAGCAACGCCGCGUGAGUGAUGAAGGUCUUCGGAUCGUAAAACUCUGUUAUUAGGGAAGAACAAAUGUGUAAGUAACUAUGCACGUCUUGACGGUACCUAAUCAGAAAGCCACGGCUAACUACGUG